rnacentral:misc_RNA from 2 species
CCAGAGUGCCCUAGGCUCUCCAACCCAUUGUGAACUUACCAAACGUUCCCUCGGCGGGCUCAGCGCGCGGUGGCCUCCGGGCCUCCGGGCGUCCGCCGGGGAAAACCAAACCCUGAUUUAAUCGUAUUUCUCUGAGGGGCGAAAGCCCGAAAACAAAAUGAAUCA